rnacentral:rRNA from 1 species
UACGAAGGGGGCUAGCGUUGCUCGGAAUCACUGGGCGUAAAGCGCACGUAGGCGGCUUUUUAAGUCAGGGGUGAAAUCCUGGAGCUCAACUCCAGAACUGCCUUUGAUACUGAGAAGCUUGAGUCCGGGAGAGGUGAGUGGAACUGCGAGUGUAGAGGUGAAAUUCGUAGAUAUUCGCAAGAACACCAGUGGCGAAGGCGGCGCACUGGCCCGGUACUGACGCUGAGGUGCGAAAGCGUGGGGAGCAAACAGG